UCUGAAAGUGGAACCCCCGGGACCCCACUUAUGAGAAGACCAUGCUGCUGGAGACACCACGGCUGAGAGUGGCGGACUGAAGUCAGCAAGUCACCGGAGUGCACUGUUUGGCUGGGAAAGACGGUCCAGCCAGCAAAGUGGAAGUCUUCAUUACAACCAAGGCAGGAGGCGAUUUUGUUUUUCUUGCUGGUUUUAAAAUCUAGUGGCCCCGCAGGGUGGAGGCCAUUGUUGGUCCAUCUGCAAAGCCGAGUGCCCCCAAAGUGGGGAUAAUUAGCUAGGGUUGCGGCCGGCUGUUGGCGGAGUAUCUAGCCCUGCUGAGGCACGAGAAGCCUAAGUGAAAAACUGUCCCGUUUCAACAGUACUCUGACAUUGGUCCAGUGAGAUGAUGGCUCAGGGGCUAAUUGCCACCAAGUCCGAUGACCCGGGUUCAAUCCCCGGGUUCUACAGAACGUGCGCCCCAGCACCGUCAUGCUCCAACACGCCACGCUUUGCAGUUCGCUGCUGAGGACACUUCUUGAGCGCCUCCAAUUUCUUAAUGAACCCCGCUGUUUAUAUUCGUGUUUCUAGACUGUAUAAUAAUGGAUUCCCUGUGAAGCAUCCCAGGCAGGCCGUUAAUUGCUCCAAAGUACGGUUUAAUCCUAUGCUCCAUGGCAGGAAGUGAGUAAGAUCAUAAAGGCCUUUACUGCUGAAAACCACACUUAAUAUUUUUACGGCCCAGUUGGCCUGACAAAAUAGUCUCUGUGAGUCAUCACUUCAAAGCAAGGCCCUGGGAUUUAUGGAAGACUGUAACAGCCGCCCAUGCCCAUUGUAGGAAGGCCCAUGAACUUGAACUGCUCUGCCAAGGCCUCUCUAGUACAAAGAAAUGCAUAAGAGAGAGGCUGCAAAAUGGCCUUGGGAGACACGUGACCAGGUGUAGUUGCUGCAAAUCUUUCAGCCACACACAGGCACACUGUCCAUGCAUACACGUGUUCAUGCGGGUGCAUACAUGUGUGCUUACGCGAGUAGGAGGCAGGAGGUCAAUCUUGAAUGCUGUUCCUCAGGAACAAUGCCACUUGUCUUUUUGAGGCAAGAGUCUCUUCCAGGGGCCUGGGGUUCACUUCCUGUCUCUGCCUCCCCAGCACUGGAAUUACAAGCAUUAGUUACAUGCCUGGCUUUAUAUGUGGGUGCUGGAGACUGAAUACAAGUUUUCAUGUUUUUUGUGGCAAGUACUUUACUGGCAGAAAUUUCAGCUCGUUGAUUAUAUUUCCGAUGGCUUAGCUUUUGUGAAUUUUAUUAGUUCAGUGAAUGAUCUAGAUGGUCGUGUUCCUUAUAAGCUCCCAGGGUGCAGAAACCUCAUGGCUUGCACGGACACCAUCGUUUGAUAUCUCAACUUUGGCACAGGCAGUGAGGUUCACCUACAUCUUAUCAGCUGUCACUUGAAAGCCAUUUCCUCUUUUCUUUAGAUCUCAAAGACCUUUUUGCAUCAUCUAAGUUAUUCACUGAGAGGGGCUGGAGGUUGGCCAGCGGUGUAGAGCAUCUGAUCUUCCAGAAGACCUGAGUCCAGUUCCCAGCACCUAUAUAGAAAGGGGGCUUCCAACCGCCUACAAUUACAGCACCGGGGGACCGGUUACCCUCCUCUGGUGUCUGACCACGAAGUGGGCUGGGCCCUCCCACAUCAACUGUUAAACAAGAAGCUUCCUUGCCAAGUUGCCUACAGAGCAAUCUGAGGGAGGCAUUUUUCUCAGUUGACAUCUCCUCUUCCCAGAUGGCUGGCGGGCACGGCAGGCUCCUCUCUCUGGGUACCCACUUGAGGGUCCUUACUAUCCAGCCACAGAAGCUCGUCUGUGUACCCUUGAGCACAGCCCAGCAAUGGCGCUUCUGUUAUCUACAAAAUAUUUGGGUGUGGGUUUGGCGGUGAGACUUCCCUGAACUCAAAGGCUCUUGUGAACUGGUACUUGACCACACAGAUUAUUAAAAACACACACAUGCCACACACACCCACCGUAACACACACACACACACACACACACACACACACA